CACGUAGGGCGCGAGCGUUGUCCGGAAUUAUUGGGCGUAAAGAGCUCGUAGGCGGUUCGUCGCGUCGGCUGUGAAAACCCGGAGCUCAACUCCGGGCCUGCAGUCGAUACGGGCGGACUGGAGUUCGGCAGGGGAGACUGGAAUUCCUGGUGUAGCGGUGAAAUGCGCAGAUAUCAGGAGGAACACCGGUGGCGAAGGCGGGUCUCUGGGCCGAUACUGACGCUGAGGAGCGAAAGCGUGGGGAGCGAACAGG
rnacentral:rRNA from 1 species